CUCCUCCGAAAGAACCUUAUCCUCAAGGUUCUCAAGGUUCUCAACCUAAAAUCAAUACUUACUAAAAACUAAGGAGGCUUGGGGCAAGGACGUAUCAACCUUUUCUCAUAUCGAACAUGCUCUAACAAAUCAAUCUUCAUCAAUUUUUUGUUUAAAUCUAAUUCUAUACUUAGCAAUGUGGUAUUCAAUUGGGUACGUAAUAAAGACAAUCAAACAUUGAACAAAAACGACCACAUGAGGUUUGUAUAUUGUCCUGUCAGUGUAUGAUCCAUGAGACCAUCACAAUAUAGAACAUGAAGGUCACCAAAUCCUGAUAAAACAGUUUUGCCAAGUAUCUGCCGUUGCAUACCUCGAUACAGUGUCAUUAUCAGUCGGCUGAAACAGAAGUUUACCACAGAGUAUGCUGAUGGCAAUCAGUUGAGAUGUUUUUCAACUCCGAGAGAAAUGGGUCAAACAGUAGGCAAACUGGCUGAGAAGACUCCGUUAAGUUGGGGACACUGUUAGUGGGAUACCUGGUGAAGAAAGGGUGGUUCACAUAUUAGAUCAUGGCACCUCUAGAUUUACACGUGUUCAGUUUAUGUUUCCUUAUCCGCAGGGUCGGUGGAAUGAACUGGAACGGGAAAAUGGAUCUGUUGCUUCAAGUUAUAACUGGAUUGGAGCUUUUGGCUGGAGCCUACUGACAUUGGAAUCUGUUAUAGUUCGACAUAGAAAGCCCGAGAAGGACACUGAGAACAGUGACUAUAAACGUAGCAUAGAUGAAGAUGAUGGCUUACAUGGGAAGGUUGAGUCCAAACUGUUCUUCUCCCAUGGAAAUAACAAAUAAAGUGAAGUUGGAUUUAGAUCAUUGACUUUCUCAAUUGCAUCCUCGACAUUUCCACACUGCACCGCUUUAACAGCCAUGCGAAUCAGUAAUCGUUCCGAGAUAUAUACCUGCUGUGUCUUAGUAAGGAACAUGAGGAAGGUGCUUCCACAAGAUUGGGAUACGUUCAGCUCCAGAUUGGGAUACGUUCAGCUUAUCCAACCCAGAGCAAUCUCUUGGCUAUCUGUGGAUGUUUGGCUAGUUAGCUGCUCAGUCAACCUAUCAAGGUGAUAAUCAAAGUUAUUAUUUAGACAUAUGAGCAAUCAGUAUAUGAUAUGGGCAAGUUCGGAGCCAUAUGUUCAAGCAAACCCUCUUGCAUGCAAGUUUCUGAUCUGACCAUAUCAAAAUAAUGGGAUAAUCAAACACUUACAAACAGAUUAGCUCUGACACAGAAAUCCCCAUUUGUUCCAAAAAUCCAGCAGCAAGCAGUAGUUACUACUACUAGUGUUAUCUAAUCAAUCAAAUUCGAUGAUCAUCCGAUAAGGAGGAAAACAAUUAAACAAAUGGCAGGAAAUCCAGAAACUCUGUCCAGAUAGUGAAAAAACUCAGCAAUUCAAAAACCCUAAAGACGAGAACAAGGAACCCGUGAAUUAACAUAUACCAUCUCUGCAAGAUGACGAAUAACAAUCCAGAACAGUGCCAUCAGUGCUGGAGGAGCACCAUCAAGCCCAUGGGAGGAGAGGCUUAACCAAUCCACUGUGUUAAAAACCAAAACGACAAGGAAAUGUCACAAACGAGAAAACUUCAAUUCAAAACAGAAGAAGAAUCUCCCAUUGAAACAGCUCACCAUUCAAUUGUACAAAAGAGCAUCCCACAAAAAAAAAGCGAGAACAAUGCUCUAGGAUCUAGGUUAUCAGUUCGAGAGCUUGUUUCGAGGGCCGCUGUGAGAUGUCGAGAAGUUCACCGACAGGGCACUUUGACACGUCAUCGAAACCAGCCAGUAGUGAAACUGUUCUCUCCAGCUCUUCCAAAAAGCUUUGCUGUAAGAGGAAAAUGUCAAGUCUAGUUUCUGAGCACUAAGUUAGAGU
rnacentral:lncRNA from 1 species